rnacentral:rRNA from 1 species
UACGGAGGGGGCGAGUGUUGUUCGGAAUUACUGGGCGUAAAGCGUGCGCAGGCGGUUUUGUAAGCCAGAUGUGAAAGCCCCGGGCUUAACCUGGGAAUGGCAUUUGGGACUGCAAGGCUUGAGUGCGGCAGAGGAGACUGGAAUUCCUGGUGUAGCAGUGAAAUGCGUAGAUAUCUGGAGGAAUACCGGUGGCGAAGGCGGCAUCCUGGACCGGCAUUGACGCUGAGGAGCGAAAGCCAGGGGAGCAAACGGG